GCUGGAACAUCAAGAUGAAGAAGUCAUCUUGUCUUGUUCCCUUGUUGGUCACAGUUGCCGUGUGCACACAGAUAGCUCUAUCGUUGAUGUGCUACACAUGUACAAAUCAGAGGACAAACUGGAACUGCCUCAAGGUGACUGAAUGCCAGGACAGUACUUGGACAUGCCUGACAGUUGGAACUGUUGCAGCUCAUUCAAUGAUUUGUUUCACAUGUGAAAACCAGAAAUCUAAUUGAAACUGCCUGGGAAUGACGGUUUGCUCAGACCAUGAACGAAGAUGCCUAACGGUUGGCAUAGUUUCAGGAACUGGUGAUGAUUCUGAGGUGCUCAUCACCAAGAAGUGUGCCGAGAGAUGCCCAUCCGAAAUGGAUUAUCCAAACUUAGCUCUCAAUUCUCUCUUUUGCUGUGAACACACCUGGUGCAAUUUAUGGCCUCCCAAAUAACAUAAAAGGGGCUAGUCAGCAAAGAAGAACCAGCCUGGGAUGUUCUUGAAGGAAGCUGUUUUCCCUUAGCUCAAUUAUUGUGGACUACAGAGAGAAGUCCACAGUAACUUGCUUGUGGGCUUCCUAUUGAGGCAACUGGUUGGCCACUGUAAGAACAGGAUGCUGGACUAGAUGGGCUGCUGGCCUCAUCCAGUAGGACUCUUCUUAGGUUCUUAUGUUCUAGGUGUAGAGGCUCCCUGUUGUAACGCUGAAGAUGUGGGCUUCCAAUUGUCACCUCAUGGCUAGGUUUGUACCCAGCAAAACCUUCCAAGGCAGCCCAGUAAAACCCAUGGGGCCUUCCAGACAUGCUUUGUAGUGCGCAUUCAUGAUUAUUCGUACUCAUGAAGGUAUCAAAGUGAUUGCACACAAUCCAAUUUUCAAUAUUGCUCAUGCUUGCAGCAAUUUUGGGGUGAACCUGCUGCUUUGUUUCCAUUCAGUCCAUGCCCCACAACUUCCUACUGAAAUAUAUAACUUUUCACAAAUGUUUAUUUUUUGUUCCACUUUUGUUGUGCAAUAGCGCAAGUGUGUCCCUUCAGAUGACAAUCAUGUGGUAACAUUAGGAAAGCACUACAGAACAACUAAUGAAGUGGAAUAAUGUGUGGAUGGUCCAGUAUAAAAUGGACGGCCUUCAAGUCGAUCCCGACUUAUGGCUAUGAACAGGGUUUCAUGGUAAGCGGUUUACCAUUACCUCCCUCUGAGGCUAGUCCUCCCGAGCUGGCUAGGGCCUGCUCAGCUUGCCAUAGCUACACAAGCCUUCCUUGUCCGCAACUGCCAGCUGGGGUCACCUGGGCUCCUUGGGACUAUGCUGCUUGCCCACGGCUGCACAGGUGGCAGGGCACGUAACCCCUGAGCCACUCACUGUGGGAUGAUCUUUAGCUGGCCUUUGACACCCAGGAGACAUGAGCGGGGAUUUGAACUCACAGACUCUGAACUCCCAGCCAGGGUCUCCUCCCCACUGUGCUAUACCAGCUCUGGUCCAGUAUAAAUCCACCAUUCACGCACAACCAUUGCGUCAAUGACAUGUUGCAGAAUGCAGCUGCAAAGAGAUCUUCCAGCCUGAAGGAAGGCUCUUCCCUGUUUGUAGGAAUCAUAAAUAUAUUUUCAAGUUUAUUUCAUGAGUCUUGCAAAUAAUGAUGAUGGGGGAUGGAGGAUUCAGACCAAAAGGAUUCCUUUGGAAGAACUAUUGGACAUUCAAAAUUAACCUGACUUAAAAACUGGAUCUAGGGAUGGAAAGUCGUUGGGGCUUUCAGAUAUCCUCAGGGGUGUCACCAGCCGGGUGUGACAGGUGCGGUCCGCACCCGGAUGACAUCAUGGAGGGGGUGACACCAGAGCUGCCUGGCCCCGCCCCUAGGCUGUGGACGGCACCAGGUCUAGGAAGAAGUGGGACAGGCAGACACCGCUGAGGGCCGGAGGAGAGCUGAGCUGCCUGCCCGGCCUGUGCGGCACGGCACGUGCACUUAGACGUCAUCGGAGGCACCGUGUGAGGGAAGGGCGCCAGCGGCCUGGAUGAUCUCCCGUGGGGCAGGGCCUCAGGGUCCAGACUCCAGGAUUUAAUCACUGGGAGAGAUUGCCAGUUUGGAGCGCGUGCGCGCUCAGCGCAUGCGAGAGAGACCAGCCACCCCUGUCGAUGCCCCUGGGAGGGCACGCACCAGAGGUCCACACCCCCCUGCACUCCCGCUAGUGAUGCUGCUGGAUAUCCUUGCUUUCCCAAACAACUUCCUGGGUCGUGGGGGGUAUUGUUUCUCCUUAAGAACAUAAGAAGAGUCCAGAAGCCCACAAGCAGGACCUAAGCACCAAGAGCACUCUCCCCACCUGCAGUUUCCAGCAACGGGUAUUCAGAAGCAGGCUGCCUUCGGCUAUGGAUCUUCCAACAAGCAGCUUCAUUGGAUGUCCACGAGUUCUAGUGUUACGGGAGAGCAAGAGAAACUUUUCUCUGUCCACUUUUCCCAUGCCAUGCAAGGUCCUGCUUGUGGGCUUCACACUGACAUCUGGCAGCCCACAGUGAGAACAGGAUGCUGGACUAGAUGGGCCAUUGGCCUGAUCCAGCAGGCUCUUGUUACGUUCUUAUGCAAGAGCACCAUCCCCCUCCUGUGGUUUGCAGCUACUGGUAUUUAGAAGCAUACUGUCCCGACCAUGGAUGCAGAACACAGCCAUCAUGGCUAGCAGCCAUUGAUAGCUUUAUCCUCCAUGAGAAAAAAGCACUGGGACUUUUGACUAGUUUCUCCAGUUGUCAUUGGGAAUCUAUAUUCCAUUGAGAGUUGCAUAGUGUCGAUGACAGGCAUUCACAUUCCAGGGCCUAUUGUGAAGUGGAUUUCUGCUACGCAUUAAUCUGGGAUUGCCACCCACCUGCCCUUCUAUCUAGCUUGCACAAGAGUUUGUCAUGGAGGACCACCCCUACCAUUAGGCACAGUGUUGUACCCUCAGGCGGCAGAUGCUGGAGGGUGGCAAAGAGUGGUGAGGUGUUGGAGGACCAAGCUGUGAGUGCCACACAGCUCACUGAGUGCCCCGUAAGCCAGUCUGCUGCCUUCAGGGGCGACAGAGGCUUGGCAGAGUUGAAGGGUCUUUUUUUUAUUUAAAGGUCUACCAAUCAGUGCCUAAUGCAAAACAGUGCCAUGUGAUGGGGGGUGGGCACUUAGAAUAACAAAAACAGAGCUUGGAAAAGUAACUUUUUCGAACUACAACUCCCAUCAGCCCAAUCCGGUGGCCAUGCUGGCUGGGGCUGAUGGAAGUUGUAGUUCAAAAAAAGUAACUUUUCCAAGCUCUGGAAAAAUACCAGGGUGCCUCUGUCAAGGAUUUUUUUUCCAAUACCAAAAAUGAGCUCACAAGCAAGUCACACAAAAAUCCACUCCUCCCCGAAAUUUCUUCAUCUCAGCAGCCUAAUUUAGAAGGAGGGAGGAGCUUUCUUUUUGUUCUGCUGUUUCUUAAAUUCUCAAACAGAGAACACCUUCAAAACAGAGGAUUGUUUUGCCUCGGGGGUGGCAUCUCCCUAUAUCCCAAGCUAAUCUGGAAUUGAUUUGAGGAGUUAGAGCCAUCCAUGCCCUAUUUUCUGACUGCUUGGUGAAUACUUGCAAUUGUUGGUAUAAACUAGGGACAAACAGCCUUUGGCCACUCAGAAUUUAUUUAUUUAUUUAUUUAUUUCAUUAAACUUAUAGACCGCCCCAUAGCCGAAGCUCUCUGGGCGGUUCACAAGCCAAGAAACAUCAAAAGUACAAUAAAUCUAUACAAUAUAAACACAUUAAAAAUUUAAAAUGUUAAAAAAAUUAAAACAAUAUCCACACAUACAAGCAAGUUAAGAGCAUGUUAAAAAGCAUGUUAAAAGUUGCUGAAUGACAGCUCCCAUCAUUCUUGCCCAUCGGCUACGCUGGCUAGGACUGGUGGGAGUUGAAGGUCAACAAUAUCUGGCCAGCCACAGGUUCCCCACCCCUGGUAUAAGGACUAAAAAGGCCCAGCCUCAUCCAAGAACAAACAAGCUGAUUUGCUACAUUUUAUCUGCCAUUUGUUUAUGCUGCCCUUUUAGCAUUCAACCUCUCUGUUUUAAACUUGUUUUGUUCUAAUGUAUUUUCUGAUUAACCAAACUGACGGCCAGAAGACUGGCUGCAAAUCUGUAAAGUAAAUAAAAGUGUUCCUGCUGGAA